UACGAAGGGGGCUAGCGUUGUUCGGAUUUACUGGGCGUAAAGCGCACGUAGGCGGAUCGUUAAGUCGGGGGUGAAAUCCUGGAGCUCAACUCCAGAACUGCCUUCGAUACUGGCGAUCUUGAGUCCGGAAGAGGUGAGUGGAACUCCUAGUGUAGAGGUGGAAUUCGUAGAUAUUAGGAAGAACACCAGUGGCGAAGGCGGCUCACUGGUCCGGUACUGACGCUGAGGUGCGAAAGCGUGGGAGCAACAGG
rnacentral:rRNA from 1 species